rnacentral:rRNA from 1 species
UCGCCCUUCCCGGUUGAUCCUGCCGGACCUCACUGCUAUCGGGGUAAGACUAAGCCAUGCAAGUCCAGGCCCAUAGCCAUCUGUGGGCCUGGCGUACGGCUCAGUAACACGUGGCCAACCUGCCCCGAGGAGGUGGAUAACCCCGGGAAACUGGGGUAUAAACCGCCAUAGGUGAGGGGUUCUGGAACGACCCUUCGCUGAAAGACGUGCGCGGGGAUGCCUGUGCACGUGCCUCGGGAUGGGGCUGCGGCCCAUCAGGUAGUUGGUGGGGUAACGGCCCACCAAGCCUAUAACGGGUACGGGCCCUGAGAGGGGGAGCCCGGAGAUGGACUCUGAGACAAGAGUCCAGGCCCUACGGGGCGCAGCAGGCGCGAAAACUCCGCAAUGCGCUCACGCGUGACGGGGUUACCCCGAGUGCCACCCUCGUGGUGGCUUUUGCGCGGUCUAAAAAGCCGCGCGAAUAAGCGGGGGGCAAGACGGGUGUCAGCCGCCGCGGUAAUACCCGCUCCGCGAGUGGUGAGGACUAUUACUGGGCUUAAAGCGUCCGUAGCCGGCCCGGCGUGCUCCGCGUUAAAUCCAGCAGCCUAACUGCUGGGCUGCGCGGAUGACUGCCGGGCUUGGGGGUGGGAGAGGGCGGCGGUAUUCCCGGGGUAGGGGUAAAAUCCACUGAUCCCGGGAGGACCACCAGUGGCGAAGGCGGCCGCCCAGAACACGCCCGACGGUGAGGGACGAAAGCUGGGGGAGCGAUCGGGAUUAGAUACCCCGGUAGUCCCAGCCGUAAACGAUGCGGGCUUGGUGUCGGGCUGGCCACGAGCCAGCCCGGUGCAGAAGGGAAACCAUUAAGCCCGCCGCCUGGGGAGUACGGCCGCAAGGCUGAAAACGCCUGUGCCGUUGGGUAAAUUAACCGCAUCGAAUGGGGGUUAUUAGACAUGCUUUGGACGAGGAGCGAUUAAAUGAACUGUUUUACCUUAUUGGCCUAUUGAGGGACGGCUCAGUGUACUAUGAUAGGAUGUCACGAAACUAUUACAUCGUAUGGUACUCGAAAUCACGUGACUUUCUUGAAUGCGUUGUUGCCCCAAAAUUAUCAAGGACCUUCCCUCACAUUCGAUUGUGGAUGGAUCAAUACAAGAAGGGGCACUGGAGAAUCAGAAUUAGUAACCGAGAAAUAUACCACAUGGUGAAAACAAGCUUCGAAUUCCCUGACGAGCAUCUUGGGCAAAGAUAUUGGGGAAUCCCCGCAUUGGUUCGCGAAGCGGAUAUGCCGCUGAAGCUGAGCCACAUUAGGGGAAUCGCAGACGCUGAAGGCGAUGUAUCGUUAGUAAACAAAUACAUUGAGAUAUCACAGAAAAAUUACGAAGUUCUGCAAUGGAUUAAAGUGACGUUGCAUGAAGUGGGAAUAUCAACGGGCGAUAUUAUUUUAGCUGAUAGAAAGUCCCUAACGUACAAAAUUGUUAUUAGUCAAAGAAUGGCGGUAGUGCUUUUUAAUAAAUUAGUUAAUUUUGAGCAUCCGUUAAAGAAACUACAGCUUGAAAGAUUAGUAAAUUUUUACCCAACCGCACGGCGUCAGCAGACUUAAAGGAAUUGGCGGGGGAGCACCACAAGGGGUGGACGUUGCGGCUUAAUUGGAGUCAACGCCGGAAACCUUACCGGGGGCGACAGCAGGAUGAUGGCCAGGUUGAAGGCCUUGCCUGACGAGCUGAGAGGAGGUGCAUGGCCGUCGCCAGUGCGUGCCGUGAGGUGUCCUGUUAAUUCAGGCAACGGACGAGACCCGUGCCCCCAGUUGCGACCGGGCCGAAAGGCGCCGAGCACUCUGGGGGGACUGCCCCGGAAACGGGGAGGAAGGAACGGGCCACGGCAGGUCAGUAUGCCCCGAAUCCCCCGGGCCGCACGCGACGUUCAAUGGUGGGGACAGUGGGCUGCAACCCCGAAAGGGGAAGCCAAUCCCUAAACCCCACCUCAGUAGGGAUCGAGGGUUGCAACUCGCCCUCGUGAACGCGGAAUCCCUAGUAACCGCCCGUUACCACCGGGCGGUGAAUACGUCCCCGCUCCUUGCACACACCGCCCGU